rnacentral:rRNA from 1 species
UACGUAGGGGGCAAGCGUUGUCCGGAAUCAUUGGGCGUAAAGCGCGUGUAGGCGGCUCGAUAAGUCCGCUCUGAAAGUCCAGGGCUCAACCCUGGGAUGCGGGUGGAUACUGUCGGGCUCGAGUCCGGAAGAGGCGAGUGGAAUUCCUGGUGUAGCGGUGAAAUGCGUAGAUAUCUGGAGGAACACCGGUGGCGAAGGCGGCAUCCUGGACCGGCAUUGACGCUGAAUAGCGAAAGCCAGGGGAGCAAACGGG